AUGUAUAGUAUAUAUAAUGUAUGUAUGUAUGUAUAGUAUAUAUGUGUGUGUAUAUAUAUGAAUGAACAAUCAAUGUAUACUCGGAGCCAAACGACGCAUUAUAAGCCCAACCUGGUAAGAUGAAGAAUGUAUUCACAUGCUGUCUGUCUGUGUAGGAUGCAUUCAGCUUGCUGGCGUACUCGGACCCGUGGAACUGCCCCGUUGGCCAGCAGUUAGACCCCACCCAGAGAGAAACCCUCUGCUCUGCACUCAACAGCGCCAUAUUGGAGUCCCAAAAUCUGCCCAAGCAGCCUCCGCUGAUGUUGGCGCUGGGCCAGGCCACGGAGUGUGUUCAGCUCAUGGCCCGGGUCCGGUCCGGUUCCUGCUCCUUCGCCAGAGUAGACAACUUUUUGCACUAGCCCAGGUCCAGGUUAAUGUUAAGUAGCACUGAGAGAAGGCAUGUCCAGCAGGUAGUUGUCAUGGCGACGGAGGAAAGAGCAUGCGUGUGAUUGGUGUGUUUGGCUGUCCGUCAGACCGAGCCAGCGGCACAGGCAGAGGAGCAGAGGAGAGCGGCAGAGAAGAAAGCUUCCUUUUUAAUUUAGUAUUAUCAAAUAAAGACAUGUGUGACACUAUUUAAAGAUGAUUAAUUAUGAUUCUGUUUAUCUAGCCAUUUUUAUAGUUCUUUUCUUUUUUUUUUGUCAGUUUGUUGUGCUCAUCCUGGACAAAACAAAUUGUGAAUCCCCUUUUUAUUUUUUCUUCUGUUUUUAUUGGGUGGAUUUUGAUUCCCUGCGAUCAGUAUUUUACUCACGUUGUUGUUGUUGUUGUUGUUCACCAUAUCACAGACCACAAUACCCGCAUCGGGCUACCACGGUGACCCCCACCGCUGUAGGUCAACUCUACGAACCCUGAGGCAUAUUCACAUCGUCUUUGAUAAGAUGCAGAAGACAGAAAGACUCCUUUAUCCUCCUAUAAUACUUGGAAGUGCAUUCAUGUCUUGAAAUAAAUUCAACCGGGGCGAGCAAACAAGUGCUCAGCAUGGAGAACAAAAAGCGCCAUUUAACGUGUGGAGCAGAUCAGUAGCUCCAGUCAAGGCUGAUUCCGUACAGCAGUGAACACUGCUGCUGAUAGAAAAUAGAAAAUGGACAUAUGUGAGACAAAACUGGGUCCCUAAAUUAUUCCAGAAAAUUGGAAUUUAAAAUGCAUCUUUCAGUGUCACAGCAUUGGAACGUUAAAGCAGUAAAAUGCUCUGUGCUAACAGGUUAGACACAAGGCCUCUGUAGUGGAGAACACUGCCAUUAACCAGGGGGAUAGGGUGAUGACAAGUGAUUGAAGGAACAGUUCACCCGAAAAUAAAAAGAUAGUUAUUUUUCGUCUUCCCUCUCUAGUGCUAUUUAUCAAUCUAGAUUGUUUUGGUUUGAGUUGCUGAGUGUUGGAGAGGACGACGCCAUUAAUGUUUACGUCUCGACCACGAGCCUCUCCUCCACAACGUUGGCCGGUGUAGUUCGGUUAAAAGUAAAUAAUUCCUACGUCAAACUGCUCACAACAAGGUCUGUGCAUUAUCUUAAGUAACUGGGUCAGGAUUUCUGGAAAGACAUGAUGCUUUUCAGUUUUUUCGAAUGCAUUUUCUCCCCUGCUUUGAGCACCUCAAGCCCGGUGCCAUGUAGACCCAUUAUAUUGGAGAGAGGGCAGACAUCUUCAACACUCUGCAACUCACACACCAAAACAACCUAGACUGAUAAAUAGCACUACAGGUAACAUGAAAUACAAGGUGUAUUUCUGAUUUAGGGGUGAACUGUCUCUUUUAAAUUGGAAAAUAAGAAGUGCUGGAACCUUAGUUCUACUGUAACGACCCCAACAUAGACCAAUCAGUGACGUCAUUGCAGGUGGCAGCGCUCAGCACCAGCUGUUAUCACGGUUUACCAGCGUAAAGAAAAUCUGUAUCAAAGGCGGACUAACGAGCACAGUGUGUGUGGACGGCUAGAAGUUAAGUCACCUCUGAGGAUUUCAUUAUUGCAGUCUGUUUCUUGUUGCCCACAGCCUGACCUGCUCAGUGCAUUUGCUGUCGCAAUUAAAAUUUCAAACAAACCGAUGAAAUCAUUUGCAGAACGAGAAUGUUUUUUUUUUUUUAAAUUUUAUGGUGAUAAUUGUGAAUGUGAUAAUUAAGUCACAGUCUUUCAUUUUUGGCGUUUGAUGCCAAACCACAUUUUAAAGGUUGUUAAAACCACUUGUGUGUGUUGGAAGAAGGUGUUGUCCCUCCCACACACACACACUCAGACCCCUCCUAUUCUCUAACAGCCAUAAACUUCAUUAGGUUAUUUAGUUCAUAAUAUCUUGUUUUAUUUAUUUCAUAUUUGAGUUUAAUAUUGAAUUAUUGAUUUUGACAUUCUAUCAUCGUGAUCAGCUUUCUGUCUCUGUAUCUAAUCAGAUGAUUGUUCUUUGCAAAAUAAAAAAAUCAGACUCGACACCCUUCUAUUUCCAAUCCAAUAAUUGGAUGUUGAUUACAACAACUUGUUUUGUUCCAUCCCUUAGUUUUAUGUGAAACAUUGUAACUCUUUUGUUUUUACACCAGAUUUAUUUUCUACCAAAUAGCACUGACUUACUGUUGUCUGAAUAGUGGCAAGCUGUCACUUUCGGGUGCUUUGUUAUGACCUGGCAAAUGUCUAAAGGAUCCACCCUGAAGUGUAUAUUUCCAUUUAUAAGUCUGAUGUAGAGAAAUAUGGAAUAAUAUGUGGGGUUUACUACAGGGUAUGUUCACACUUUUUACCAAGCUGGUUUUUAUAAAGACCUUCUGCUAUAAUAGGAACUAUUCUAUAAUAACCACACAUACAGCACACACUCAACAUCUGCUUCUACAGCUGUAAAGGACUUCUGUUACACACACACACACACACACACACACACACACACACACACA